CCCUGCCAUUUGUACACACCGCCCGUCGCUACUACCGAUUGAAUGGCUCAGUGAGGCCUUCGGACUGGCUCGGAGAGGUUGGCAACGACCACUCCGAGCCGGAAAGUUCGUCAAACUCGGUCAUUUAGAGGAAG
rnacentral:rRNA from 1 species